UACGUAGGGGGCAAGCGUUGUCCGGAUUUAUUGGGCGUAAAGAGCGUGUAGGCGGCCAUGCAGGUCCGUUGUGAAAACUCGAGGCUCAACCUCGAGACGCCGAUGGAAACCGCAUGGCUAGAGUCCGGAAGAGGAGAGUGGAAUUCCUGGUGUAGCGGUGAAAUGCGCAGAUAUCAGGAAGAACACCAGUGGCUAAGGCGGCUCUCUAGUACGGUACUGACGCUGAGACGCGAAAGCGUGGGGAGCGAACAGG
rnacentral:rRNA from 1 species